UCGGCCCCUAUCAUGGAAAUGAUUCUGUUUCCCAUUAGAAGGGAAAAGAAAAUUCACCCACUGAACCACAGCAAAUUGCAGUGACAGCGUGGAGACCCUGGAGAGGCGCCAUAUUGAUUAAAAUGUUCAAGCGCUGACAGACUCUCCUGGGCAAGGUUCCUGGCACCGCCUCUCUGGGGAGCAUCUCCAGUCCCUGCCCGUCCUCAUCAAAUGCAGAUUUCUGGAGUGUGAGCUUGGAAGAGGCCCCUGGAAGGUCGUGGAACACAUGGUCCCCAGGCCCCUGGGGGAUCGUGUUCUGACUGCGGGCCACCUCCCAAGACACCCGGCCAAGCAGAUGCUUCUGAGUCUCUGCAAGAUGCUACACUCUGUGGGGGUCACAGACAAAAGCCUGCUUUCUGACCGGCCAGUGGGAGACAGGAAGAUGCUGGAUUUGGAGGCUGUAGAUGGGAAGGAACUAAGCUGCACCCCAGAAUCACUGCACUCAUCUCGUGGUGACUUUGCAGCCCCGGUUUUCUCUCGGACACGCACAGCAGAAUUCUCGCGUGUUCUGAUGACAGGUUGUCCUCGUGCUGUGCCUCUCACCUGUGCUACGUCUCAGUUCACUUGGGCAUCACCAGGACAGUAUGUGUCCUCAAUGAGCACAAUGCCAGUUUUAGACACUGAUCAAACUUUGGCAGCUCACCUGUGAAGGGGUUGGAGUGCACCUGGGCACUGUGACUGAGGGUGAAAGCCACGCCUCCUCCAUGGCUGAGAAACUAGAAUCCUGCUGGUGAGGACCAAGGUGGACAGCAGAGUAGAUCUGGGGUAAAGGAUGCUGAGUCCUUAGCCAACCCGCAAUGGGCAGGAUUGGGAUUCUGGCUUUCAGAUGUAGCAUCACCACUAACGCAUGUGGCCAAGUGCUAAUUUCACCACCAUGACUUCUUAGAAUCAGGGUUGGAGACUCAAAGCUCUCCUUCAGGUUCACCCUGCUUCCUCUGCCCCUGCAACACACCCACAAGCCACAUGCAUUCAGAAAUAGAAAAGGUCAAGCCGCAAACCCUGCCCCAACUGUUCCGUCCCCUCGGAGUUAUUUUUAGGUUGGAAAAGACCCUUUUCCUUCUGACUCACGGUCUUGCUGACAAAAAUGGAGACAGCUAAAUACAAGAGUCAUUCCUCAUGUCAUGUUCUCUUAUCAAAGAGGCCCUUGUGACUGCACCCUCCCCUCCCCCUGACCCCCCCCCCCCACCAAUUCCUUUGCUCUGUGGGCACUUCUGCAGACCAGGGUGCCAAGGCCAAGUAAUCCCCUCCUUACCCUCCAACUGUCCCCCACCCCAGCCUCCGUUCACCCCUGCCACACACUUCAGUGUAAGGAGACUUAGUUUAACAUCUUAGACGAUGUUACUAUGUAUUUUGCUCAUUUGGCUUUGGAGAUCCCCUGUGUAUGGAGGAGACUAGGGCUAUAAAGAGGACUGGGAAA